GUGGACUUGAGAGAAGAUUCAUCACAAUUACGGGUAGAUCUCAGUAGUUCAAUAUUGCCUUUUGGAAGCUUUACUGAUCAAGAGGUUGAUUUUUCUAAACUCUAAAGAAAACUCUGACUUGGUAACCAUUCAGCUUUUACAGUACAUCCAUCAACUGUUAGCAUUUUCCUAAAGUCACAAAACAGAUACUCAACUGCUAUAGUUGAAUCUUUCAGACCAUUGUCACCACAAUGGCUUCACAGCAGGCACCAGCAAAAGACCAUUAGACCAACAAUUUAGAGUUUACUCCAACUCAUAGUUCUGGUGUGCAGUGGGCAGAAGACAUCUCUAACUCACCAAGUGCUCAGCUAAACUUUUCCCCAAGUAACAAUGGCUGCUGGGCAACUCAGGAGCUGCAAAGUCUCUGGAAGAUGUUCAACUCCUGGUUGCAGCCAGAAAAGCAGACUAAGGAGUGAAGAAUAAAAAUUUUUUACUGAACUCUUCUUCACCCCAGAGCCUGACCCCUCCCAUCUAGAGAUUGUUCCCGGAACACUCCUAAACUUUUCACCCCAGAAUACAUUCCUGAACUCCUCACCCUAAAGUUCGAACCCUCCCAACUAAAAACUGUUCCAAGAACAUUUUUGAGAUAAAGGCCUCCUGGAACAACCUCAAAAUGAACCGGGUACAUUGCCAAAUGAUAGGACAUGACCCCUUAGUUACGUAGAUUCUUUUGGCAGAACCCCUUGUCCCUUGGCAGAACCCCCUAGUGAUGUAAACUUGUACUUUCCCUGCCCAGUUCUCCCCCUUUGAGUUUUACUAUAUAAGCCUGUGAAAAAUUUUGGCUGACCGUCGAUUCUCCUCUACACCACUAGGUGUAUGAGUUUCGACCCCAGAGCUCUGGUCUGUGUGCUUUCAUGUUGCUGCUUUAUUAAAUUUACCUUCUACAUUU
rnacentral:lncRNA from 1 species